rnacentral:rRNA from 1 species
AAUGUCCCUAGCAUCUCCCAUCUGUUUUCCGCAGAUGGCUCUCUCAUUUUGUUCAAGGCAAAUAAAGAAAGCGCGGAGCAGAUCCAACACAUCCUGCGGGUAUAUGAAGCAAGCUUAGGCCAAACCGUUAACGAGGACAAGUCUGCAGUUCUCUUUAGCAAUAAUGUGAAGGCCAAGCAUAAAUAUGAUGUGACACGUACUUUAGGUAUUUCGAAACAAGCUCUUAAUAAGAGAUACCUAGGUAUGCGAAUUCAUGUGGGAAAGUCAAGAUCGAAAUGCGUAUUGUAUUGUUGCCAUCGG